CACGUAGGGGGCAAGCGUUGUCCGGAUUUAUUGGGCGUAAAGAGCUCGUAGGUGGCUGAGUAAGUCGGAUGUUAAAUCCCCAGGCUCAACCUGGGACACCACCCGAUACUGCACUGGCUAGAGUCCGGUAGGGGAGCAUGGAAUUCCUGGUGUAGCGGUGAAAUGCGCAGAUAUCAGGAGGAACACCAGCGGCGAAGGCGGUGCUCUGGGCCGGAACUGACACUGAGGAGCGAAAGCGUGGGUAGCAAACAGG
rnacentral:rRNA from 1 species